rnacentral:rRNA from 1 species
AUUGAACGCUGGCGGCAGGCCUAACACAUGCAAGUCGGACGGUAGCACAGAGAGCUUGCUCUCGGGUGACGAGUGGCGGACGGGUGAGUAAUGUCUGGGGAUCUGCCCGAUAGAGGGGGAUAACCACUGGAAACGGUGGCUAAUACCGCAUAACGUCGCAAGACCAAAGAGGGGGACCUUCGGGCCUCUCACUAUCGGAUGAACCCAGAUGGGAUUAGUUAGGAGGCGGGGUAACGGCCCACCUAGGCGACGAUCCCUAGCUGGUCUGAGAGGAUGACCAGCCACACUGGAACUGAGACACGGUCCAGACUCCUACGGGAGGCAGCAGUGGGGAAUAUUGCACAAUGGGCGCAAGCCUGAUGCAGCCAUGCCGCGUGUAUGAAGAAGGCCUUCGGGUUGUAAAGUACUUUCAGCGGGGAGGAAGGCGAUGUGGUUAAUAACCGCAUUGAUUGACGUUACCCGCAGAAGAAGCACCGGCUAACUCCGUGCCAGCCGCCGCGGUAA